AUUGAACGCUGGCGGCAUGCUUUAUACAUGCAAGUCGAACGGUAACAGACCGCAAGGUGCUGACGAGUGGCGAACGGGUGAGUAAUGCAUCGGAACGUGCCCAGUCGUGGGGGAUAACGCAGCGAAAGCUGUGCUAAUACCGCAUACGAUCUGUGGAUGAAAGCGGGGGACCGUAAGGCCUCGCGCGAUUGGAGCGGCCGAUGUCAGAUUAGGUAGUUGGUGGGGUAAAGGCUCACCAAGCCGACGAUCUGUAGCUGGUCUGAGAGGACGACCAGCCACACUGGGACUGAAACACGGCCCAGACUCCUACGGGAGGCAGCAGUGGGGAAUUUUGAACAAUGGGCGCAAGCCUGAUUCAGCAAUGCCGCGUGCAGGAAGAAGGCCUUCGGGUUGUAAGCUCUUUCGGCCGGGAAGAAAUCGAACGGGCUAAUACCCUGUGUGGAUGACGGUACCGGAAUAAGAAGCACCGGCUAACUACGUGCCAGCCGCCGCCGUAAAAC
rnacentral:rRNA from 1 species